AAAGCCCCGGCGCUAAGGCGCGCAGAUGUACGGGUCCCCUGGGAGAGUCUGGGGCGGCUCCCGAGGACACACCGCCUCCCCUUCCCCUGCAAAACCCCACCCGAGGGGCUGAAACAAUGCGGCGGCGGCGGCGGCGGCUCUCCGAAGCUGCGGGUCCCCACUUGCGCCACCGGGUUAGCGCGCUACCGGGUCUGACGCCGGCGGGAUUGCAGGCUGGAGAGAGCGGGUGGCCGAUUGGUACAGGAAAACUGUUCUAGACCACCAGAAAGGUCACUCUGGGUCGCCUCGGUUCGCACCUGCCGGAUCUGAGGUCUCGAACCCACAGCUCGUUCUCUGGAUGUGUACAGUUUUGUCCUGCACAGCGGCCAGAAUCGCCUUUCUCUGGAUUUGAAUACUUGACUUUGGCAGAGGAGCCCAUCCUGAGCCUUAGCUUCUUUGUAUGCAUCCCAGAGACAACAUGCAUUUCAUGAGGGGAUUUGUAUAAAGGGCAUAGCCCACCGUCUGGCACACAGAGAAUAGCCACAACUGUCAGUUUGGUGUGACCGACGUACUGUAUGUAGCACUCUUUAUGUAAGGUCAGAUAAAGCAGAUGAAAUCAGAGUUCCACACAGUGAGGUAAAGGCACUCAUUUCUUACCGGGUCAGCUUACUCUGAGACGCCCCGAAAGUUACGCUGUUGUGAGGAGCAGAAGGAUAAUUCCAAAGGACUUCUGCUUGAUGGAAAACCAGUCUCUGCUCUUGCAGCUUCCUCCCCCUCCCACCCGGGAGGCUGACUCUCCAGAGUAAACAGUACAUGAUUCCUGGAUGGCUUAUUGACAUUCCUCUAGCUGCAAACAAGUCUAUCCCCUUCUGUUUCUCUUCUGGCUUCUGGGAAAGGGGUCUCCAGGACAGUGAGAAGCUGUGCUAAGAUUCUUCUGCUGGGCACACCUUCAACCCCAGCACUCAGGAGGCAGAGGAAGGUGAAUCUCUGCGUUUGAGGGCAGCCUGGUUCCUGGUGAGGUGGACAGCCAGGACUACACACAAAGACCCUGUUUCAAUCCCACUCCAGGAAAAGGUUCUUCAUCUCCUGCUGUUGUCAACUUCUGUUCCCACACAUUUCUCAGCAACAACCCUAUGUGCAGAACACUUUCAAUUCUAUCUAGCAAUUAAAAUAACUGUGAGCAGAGAACCAAAACCUCUGUAUCUAGG